ensembl:lncRNA
CUUCGGUACAACAGCCAGAUAGAGAAGUGCUCUCCAAAUAUUUACUCAACAUUUGUUACUACCAUCAAUAUUUUAAUAUUUAACAGAUAAAAGUCUCUAGAUUGUGGUCUUCUCUGAAAAUCUCCACCAGCCCAAUGUGGUUAAUUCCGUCCGUCUUUGAGAGAAGUUCUGGUUCCUUGUGACGGACACCUCGGUCCGUUCAGGAGAAGAAUUGGUGGCGUGAGAAGAUUCAGAUGAUGCAGAUAUACAGUCCUCCUUCUCCGCCUCUCCAUUGUAUCGUUGUUAGAGGCACCGUGUUCUCUUCAUCCUACCACUCAUCAAAGGUUACACUCUGGGGAGGAAUUACUCUGACCUGCUUUUCUUUCAACGGAUGAUGGGCAAAACAAACAGGAAAUACUACAAUGGGACACAUUACAAAUGCCAAAGCAUUACUCUUCUUUCUUAAUCCCUUGCUGUCAACAUUUCUCACCCAGCAAACUCUUCCACUGCUCCCACAGAGAAAACAAACACAGAAGCCGGACCACACGAUACGAGUUUCUCCGUUACCCUCAGUCUGCCCACGCGCUCCGGAAAUCCUCCGGCAUAAUCAAUGCGUCGGUUAUCCCCCCUUCUCCCCUCCCUGUAUUCUCAGAUGAGCAUAUUAAGAGGCAUUUGUGAUAUUCCCAAGGAGUGAAGAUCAAGGCUCCGAGCUUAUCCACCGCCUGUUUGGCAACCACACAUUUCCCCCGACAGUUGGAGGAAGACCCUCACAUUGCGUCUGUCCUCGACGACGUCCCUCUCGCUCUGUGUCUCUUGGUCUGUCUCCUCCUCCAGACAUCCUCCGCGCUCUUACAUUUAAACCCGUUUGUGAGCCACAGAGGAUUCUGUUACAGGAGGUGCUGCUUAAAGAUUACAGGCUGUGACUGAAGCACACAACGCACACACUUGUGAGAUGCCCUCAGACCUUCACCUGCCCCGCUCACCUGGAUCACUCCUUCACCUGCUCACCUGUAUCCACGUCCACCCAUCAGGCCUGCCGGCGUACAACCGAGCAGUUUCCCACACGUUCAGCAUGUUGCUUGUUGCCUUUGUGUCCCGGAUCUCUGAACCCGAGCUUUACCCCCGAACCUGUUUCUGGCCCUGCUGCUGUUCGACCUCCUGCCUGUUCGCUCACCGGUGAGGUGUUUUCUCAAGAACUUUUCAUUCUUCCUCCUGAACCUGCUUCACACAGCCCAUUUAUCCACCUUUCAAUCCUCCUCGCUUUGUCGAAGGAAUUCAAAUCAGAUGCACAUUAUUUCCCUCUAUAGGCGCUGCACACACCAUUACACCACUGGAUGAUAAUAUGGAAAAUAUAGAAAUGUGUAGAGAGAAAUGUGUAGCAAAUGACACCUCUUACGGAUACAUAUUUUCCUCUUGAACUGAAGACAUGCAAGCACGCGCACACACACACACACACACACACACACACACACACACACACA